rnacentral:rRNA from 1 species
GUGUCAGCAGCCGCGGUAAUACGGAGGGUGCGAGCGUUAAUCGGAAUUACUGGGCGUAAAGCGCAUGCAGGUGGUUUGUUAAGUCAGAUGUGAAAGCCCGGGGCUCAACCUCGGAAUUGCAUUUGAAACUGGCAGGCUAGAGUACUGUAGAGGGGGGUAGGAUUUCAGGUGUAGCGGUGAAAUGCGUAGAGAUCUGAAGGAAUACCGGUGGCGAAGGCGGCCCCCUGGACAGAUACUGACACUCAGAUGCGAAAGCGUGGGGAGCAAACAGGAUUAGAUACCCUCGUAGU